rnacentral:rRNA from 1 species
CUGCCGGACCUGACUGCUAUCGGAUUGAUACUAAGCCAUGCGAGUCUUUGUAGUAAUACAAGGCAUACGGCUCAGUAACACGUAGUCAACCUACCCUAUGGACGAGAAUAAUCUCGGGAAACUGAGCAUAAUUCUUGAUAGAUCAUAAUGCCUGGAAUGGUUUAUGAUUAAAAUGAUUCGUCGCCAUAGGAUGGGACUGCGGCCUAUCAGCUUGUUGGUGAGGUAAUGGCCCACCAAGGCGAUUACAGGUACGGGCUCUGAGAGGAGAAGCCCGGAGAUGGGUACUGAGACACGGACCCAGGCCCUAUGGGGCGCAGCAGGCGAGAAAACUUUGCAAUGUGCGAAAGCACGACAAGGUUAAUCCGAGUGUUUUCUGCUAAAGAAAUCUUUUGCUAGUCGUAAAACCACUGGUGAAUAAGGGGUGGGCAAGUUCUGGUGUCAGCCGCCGCGGUAAAACCAGCACCUCAAGUGGUCAGGAGGAUUAUUGGGCCUAAAGCAUCCGUAGCCGGCUCUGUAAGUUUUCGGUUAAAUCCAUGUGCUCAACGCAUGGGCUGCCGAAAAUACUGCAUAGCUAGGGAGUGGGAGAGGUAGACGGUACUCAGUAGGAAGGGGUAAAAUCCUUUGAUCUAUUGAUGACCACCUGUGGCGAAGGCGGUCUACCAGAACACGUUCGACGGUGAGGGAUGAAAGCUGGGGGAGCAAACCGGAUUAGAUACCCGGGUAGUCCCAGCUGUAAACGAUGCAGACUCGAUGAUGCAUUGGCAUAUAGCCAGUGCAGUGUCGCAGGGAAGCCGUUAAGUCUGCCGCCUGGGAAGUACGUACGCAAGUAUGAAACUUAAA